UUCGCAAUGCCCGAAAGGGUGACGAAGCGACGCCGCGUGCGGGAAGAAGGCCUUCGGGUUGUAAACCGCUGUCGGGAGUUAGGAAGUGCAAGGAUGUUAAUAGCGUUCUUGCUUGACUAAGGCUCCGGAGGAAGCCACGGCUAACUCUGUGCCAGCAGCCGCGGUAAUACAGAGGCGGCAAGCGUUGUUCGGAAUUAUUGGGCGUAAAGAGCACGUAGGCGGCUGUGUAAGUCGGUUGUGAAAGCCUUCCGCUUAACGGAAGAACGGCAUCCGAUACUGCAUAGCUUGAGUGCGGGAGGGGAGAGUGGAACUUCUGGUGGAGCGGUGAAAUGCGUAGAUAUCAGAAGGAACACCGGCGGCGAAGGCGACUCUCUGGUCCAUAACUGACGCUGAGUGUGCGAAAGCUAGGGGAGCAAACGGGAUUAGAUACCCCGGUAGUCCUAGCCGUAAACGAUGGGCACUAAGUAGAGGGGUUUU
rnacentral:rRNA from 1 species